CAGCAGCCGCGGUAAUACGAAGGGUGCAAGCGUUAAUCGGAAUUACUGGGCGUAAAGCGUGCGUAGGCGGUGAGUUAAGUCUGCUGUGAAAUCCCCGGGCUCAACCUGGGAAUGGCAAUGGAAACUGGACGGCUAGAGUGUGUCAGAGGAUGGUGGAAUUCCCGGUGUAGCGGUGAAAUGCGUAGAGAUCGGGAGGAACAUCAGUGGCGAAGGCGGCCAUCUGGGACAACACUGACGCUGAAGCACGAAAGCGUGGGGAGCAAACAGGAUUAGAUACCCCCGUAGUCCCUGUCUCUUAUAA
rnacentral:rRNA from 1 species